CCGGAACACAAAGGGGCAGUGCUCUCAGGCCACUUGCGCCGCCACUGAGGGAACCCGGUCCUUCUAGACAGUCAGCCACUGCCUUAGCGGCUGUGCACAGGACAUUUCCUGUACACCUUACAGAAAGGAUGUUUACAAAUGAAGAUGCCCAAGCUCUAGUACAAAGAGUCAGAUCACCUGUGGACAACGGCAGGGAUGUCGUCUUCCUGGCUGCAGAGCCAUCAGCGGUGUUUAGCCACACGCUGGGGCCGAGCCCAGGUCUGGGUCUGGGACCCCUGCCUUCCCCACCAGAACGGGAGUGAAGGCGCCCAGGAUCAUCCUGGGGGAAGCGAGCGUCCACCAGACCCGUCCCGCUGGCGCGUGCGACCCGUCCGACCUGCCCGAGUUGAGCGCUGUGUCUCGUGCGGCAGGCGUUGUUUCCAGCUGCUCACAGUGUGCUCCCUUGAGAUGAUGCCGCCCUUGUGAGGCCUCAGGAGCGGGAUGGGAGGAGGCGUUCUCCAGUGACCCCGGGGAGCCUGAGUGACCACACCAGGUAGGUGCCUGCUGGGACUGUCGUUCUCCCAGAGGACU
rnacentral:lncRNA from 1 species